CGGACGUGGACCCGUGGGUCUGGCUGGAGUCAGCAGCACGGCUGUUGCCCGGCUGUGGCAGCAGCUGUAUUUACUCCAGCUGCGGUGCUCGGCAGAGCAGGAAAUGCCUCAGCCAGUGGGUCCUUGCAGCGGGGGACCAGCUCUGUCCCCCUCCCUGGCACAGAGGGAAAACUGGCACGGGGCGGCUGCCAGCAGGGCCGGGACAAACCCGCCGCCAGGGCAUGGAGUCAUCUGGGAAGGGUCACAGCAGGGCGGGCUGCCCCACGGCUGGACGCACGGGGAAGGAGAGGGGUCCACAGUGACCCCGGCCCCAGGUGCAACCCUGGCCCCAGUGCAGCCCCGGCCCCCGGUGCAGCACUGCAGCCUGGCCAAGCACGGCCGGGGCCCACGGCCACGGGGCUGGUCCUCGCCAGGGCGGGCGAGCAGCACGCGGCUGCACAGAGGGAUUUUUCGGAUUCCGAGCUGGCACCCGGCCAUGGCCUUUCCCCAGCUCCGCGCCAAGUGCAGCAGCAGUUUUCAGCUGCUGGCACAGGGAAGGAGCAAGGCCGAGAGCCAGCCAGGAAAGAGCAACACAGCCCAAGCCCCGGCAGAGUGUUGCUGGCCCCACCGGGACCCCCCGGCUCCCUCUUCCCCCCGGACGCGCGGUCUAGGAAGGCCAUGCAGGGCCGUGGGUCUGGGCCAUGCGGCAGCCACAGGCCCAGGUUCGGGAAAGCACCAGGAGGGACAGGAGCAAAGCUGGAAGCACCGCGUCCCUCUUCGGCCCCAUCCCAUCUCCACACCACGUCUUUCUGGGCUGCUCUCACCAUUUUGGGGUGGGGGGACAGAGCGGCAAUCCUGGCUCCUGGGCCCCAGGCAGGACGCGGCAGGGUGACUCUGCCCCCCGCUCGAGGCAGCAGCCAUCCCGGCACGAGUCACCCGCCGGCCAUGGGAAUGGGGACCUGCUCCCAAAGCGCAGGGCUGCAAGGCAGCGGCGCAUGCUGAACCAGCCCUCAGUGCCAAACCAGCCCCCCACGCUGAGCCGCCCACCAGGGCAAGCACCGGCCAGCGGCUUUGUCCUGCCAGGACGCUGCAAUUCCCUUGGCACCAAGGUGGCUCCGCGUCGCAGCCCUCCCCAGUGCAGGAUUCCUCGAGAGCUG
rnacentral:lncRNA from 1 species